GUUUUUUAUCAGGUUUUGAUAUAUAUACACCUUUUAAGCCACAUCAAAUUGAAAGGAUCCAAGUACUUCUGUAUAAACAUAGAAAAUAUUAAAUAAGCAAUUAAAAAUGAACAAAAUUUUUGGAAUUAUAUUACUAGCUGUCACUCUAGGUGUAGUCUUUGCUCAGGAUAAUGAACUAAAGUGCGAACUAAUAGACUGUAGAAUUGGGUUUACAUGCAGGGAAGAUACGAAUGAAUGCAAGAAUAAAUGUAAUAGUGAAGUCUGUUAUGAACAGAUCGAUGUAGGCUGCUAUUGUGAAAUAGGAUAUUGCUUGAAUAAUAAUGGAACAUGUGUUCCAAAUUGAUACAUUUUAGAUUGCUAACAAUUGUGAGCAAAUGUUAUUGAAAUUCAUUUGAACAUUA